ACGAACGCUGGCGGCACGCUUAACACAUGCAAGUCGAACGAGAGAAGAGAAGCUUGCUUUUCUGAUCUAGUGGCGGACGGGUGAGUAACACGUGAGCAAUCUGCCUUUCAGAGGGGGAUACCGAUUGGAAACGAUCGUUAAUACCGCAUAAUAUAAUUGAACCGCAUGAUUUGAUUAUCAAAGAUUUAUCGCUGAAAGAUGAGCUCGCGUCUGAUUAGCUAGUUGGUAAGGUAACGGCUUACCAAGGCGACGAUCAGUAGCCGGACUGAGAGGUUGAUCGGCCACAUUGGGACUGAGACACGGUCCAGACUCCUACGGGAGGCAGCAGUGGGGAAUAUUGCACAAUGGAGGAAACUCUGAUGCAGCGAUGCCGCGUGAGGGAAGAAGGUUUUAGGAUUGUAAACCUCUGUCUUCAGGGACGAAAAAUGACGGUACCUGAGGAGGAAGCUCCGGCUAACUACGUGCCAGCAGCCGCGGUAAUACGUAGGGAGCGAGCGUUGUCCGGAAUUACUGGGUGUAAAGGGAGCGUAGGCGGGAUCGCAAGUCAGAUGUGAAAACUAUGGGCUUAACCCAUAAACUGCAUUUGAAACUGUGGUUCUUGAGUGAAGUAGAGGUAAGCGGAAUUCCUAGUGUAGCGGUGAAAUGCGUAGAUAUUAGGAGGAACAUCAGUGGCGAAGGCGGCUUACUGGGCUUUAACUGACGCUGAGGCUCGAAAGCGUGGGGAGCAAACAGGAUUAGAUACCCUGGUAGUCCACGCCGUAAACGAUGAUUACUAGGUGUGGGGGGACUGACCCCUUCCGUGCCGCAGCAAACGCAAUAAGUAAUCCACCUGGGGAGUACGACCGCAAGGUUGAAACUCAAAGGAAUUGACGGGGGCCCGCACAAGCAGUGGAGUAUGUGGAUUAAUUCGAAGCAACGCGAAGAACCUUACCAGGUCUUGACAUCGUAUGCAUAGCUCAGAGAUGAGUGAAAUCUCUUCGGAGACAUAUAGACAGGUGGUGCAUGGUUGUCGUCAGCUCGUGUCGUGAGAUGUUGGGUUAAGUCCCGCAACGAGCGCAACCCUUACUGUAGUUGCUACGCAAGAGCACUCUAGCAGGACUGCCGUUGACAAAACGGAGGAAGGUGGGGAUGAUGUCAAAUCAUCAUGCCCCUUAUGACCUGGGCCUCACACGUACUACAAUGGCUGUCAACAGAGGGAAGCAAAGCCGCGAGGUGGAGCAAACCCCUAAAAGCAGUCUUAGUUCGGAUUGUAGGCUGCAACCCGCCUACAUGAAGUCGGAAUUGCUAGUAAUCGCAGAUCAGCAUGCUGCGGUGAAUACGUUCCCGGGCCUUGUACACACCGCCCGUCACGCCAUGGGAGUCGGUAACACCCGAAGCCUGUAGUCUAACCGCAAGGAGGACGCAGUCGAAGGUGGGAUUGAUGACUGGGGUG
rnacentral:rRNA from 1 species